rnacentral:piRNA from 1 species
AUCAGUGACUACAGUACAAUGGGAG